GUGGGGAAUCUUAGACAAUGGGGGCAACCCUGAUCUAGCCAUGCCGCGUGAGUGAUGAAGGCCUUAGGGUCGUAAAGCUCUUUCGCUGGGGAAGAUAAUGACGGUACCCAGUAAAGAAACCCCGGCUAACUCCGUGCCAGCAGCCGCGGUAAUACGGAGGGGGUUAGCGUUGUUCGGAAUUACUGGGCGUAAAGCGCGCGUAGGCGGAUUGGAAAGUUGGGGGUGAAAUCCCGGGGCUCAACCCUGGAAUGGCCUUCAAAACUCCCAGUCUUGAGGUCGAGAGAGGUGGGUGGAAUUCCGAGUGUAGAGGUGAAAUUCGUAGAUAUUCGGAGGAACACCAGUGGCGAAGGCGGCUCACUGGCUCGAUACUGACGCUGAGGUGCGAAAGCGUGGGGAGCAAACAGGAUUAGAAACCCCUGUAGUCC
rnacentral:rRNA from 1 species